UAUAUACACGGACAAAGUAAACUGACUAGACAACAGCAAAUAGUUUUACUGAAUGUAUUCUGUGGAUUCGAAACAAGGAAUCACUUCGAAAUGCUUUGUUUGAUAUAAAUUUUAAACAUUCGAUUUCUUUUCGUUUUUCGUUCCUAUGACCAAUGCAUUGCCAGACACGCAGCGUCGGGAGAAUGAACAAAAAUUAAACCGUACUAUAAUGUACUUAAGUCUCAAAUUCUUCUACUGUGCCGUAAUAAAUAUGAGAAAACUAUUAAUGACAUUUUCCAUAUGCUUGUCACUUAAUAUAAAGGAAAAAGUGGCAUCCUCGCGUUGGCCUGGAACAAGUGGAGUCGUGCAUCCCAGUCACCUGUCCUCUACAUAUAGUUUACAAAAACAUUUUUAAUGAGAUCCGAGGAAGUUAGAGUCAUUUUUUCGCCCACAUGCAUUUGGUACCGAAACACGCAUUUAAUGUGGCGAACCGGCUGAACUGACAUAAAUGCGACACGGGGAUUAUAAUGCUGUAACGUGCGAAUCACACAAAUCGGGAUAAAAAGGAUAUCAUCGACGAACGACAAAGAAAAGAAGACUGAGGUGCAAGUAAUUUUCAACCUUAAGAAUUUCUCAUCUCUUGUAUAGGAAUUGCAUUUUUUUUUUUCGCCAACUAUAUAUCUGGGCGAAUCUUUGCUGCCGCGGCAGGUUAAAGUUGCAUAUUAUUUUUGAAAUUAUUCAGUAACAUGCAGUAUAAACUUUGCAAAGAGAAGGCAUCUUGACGAAAGUGAGACUCCGGGAAAAACAGAGAAAUCCAAAAAAACAUAGGAGACUAGCUAUGACGCAGAGUUCCUUGUUUGAAAAUCCAAGACUGAGAGUGAGUUGUUGUUAGACUCCGAGACAGGAAGAGGCACAGAAAAAAACGAGACUUAGUGACUCAUCACUGAAAAAUUCAGAGAUUUUGAGACCGGAUCAAAAACUUUUCAAGGUACCAUUCCCUCACCAUCCGUUAUAAUGACAUACGAAUUGAAUUGACUCCAAACGUUGAAAGAACUUGCCAAACGUAUAGUUUAACUCUUUGGGAACAAUAAGGAGGGAGGCAUUUGCUUUCUAAAAUUUUGAGUUUAAAAACCCGAGCACAAAUUACUAGUGACCGUUAAUAUAUCGUAUUUUAAUACAAAUGGCUGGUAGCUUUGUAUACAAUUGGUUUAAUAUUGGUUUAAUAUUUAAUACCUUGUACUUUGCGUCAGAGACGAAUUGUCUUUUAACUCUUUGGGAGUAAUACUGAGGUAGGCAUUAGCUCUUUUCCUUCUUUACGGCAAAAUGUUGCGAUUUAGACCCUCAUCACAAAUGGCAUUUUUUUAACACUUUCAUCACCGAGCACAAAUUUCUAGUGACCGUAAAAAAUCGUGUUUUAGUAUAAAAAUGGCUAAUAGCUUACUAUACAUAGUUUAUUACCUUGCCAAAGAAGUUAAAAAAGUAUCAAUUAAAUGGGGAAAAUACCAGUAUCAUUUUUGAUACCUUGACAACCUGCCACAAAAUCAAAGUUGAUGAGCUAUAAUCCACUUUCAUCGUGUUUGUCCAGCACAUCUUUCCUAAAAUAAUCGUUAUAUUUUGUUCUACAAUAAUCUCAAUUUAUCAGUAACAUUUUCUGGCAUUUCGCAAUACAAUAUGGAAAUUACUGGAAAGAGUUCCUCCGAUAACAAUGCUCUUUCAACAUCCAGAGUUGCUGUAAUAUUUGUGGUUCGAUCACAUGCGGCCCAGGCCUCCUACGUAAACACAUGCUUUAGGACGCGCUUAACGACUUCCCGCCCGGGCUUUGUAUACAAUCUACGUGACAAUCACUGCGCAAAUGAAGGUUGCGUAACUACCAGUCUUUCGAUUCAGUUCAGUUUAAAAAAAUGAUAUUAAUUUCGCUCUAGGACCACAGCGAUAAAAAAUAUCAGAGCUGCAAACAGAGCUGCUAAGUCACUCUUAUCGAAAUUAUUUUCGACACAUAGUAUUUAGAGCAACUUUCAGUUUGCAUUCUCAAUUAUAAAUCUGUUAGGGGGCGUUUCAUUGGCUUACUCUGGAACAGGAAAAAAUGGGAUACCACCUCAUCCGUUUGUCCUUAUUGGUAUUAAAAAUAUGCGGCGAGCAUGCAUUCCUCGCAUUCUCUGGGCCUGGAAGUAGAAUUAAUUACGAAAUUCUAAGAAUAGUCUAGCGGCCGCAGGACUAAUAACAAGCUUUGUGCUCCAUCCACACGUAUCCAUUUUCUUCUAGUCGAAAACGAACUUUUUUUUUUCUUUCAGCUUGGCCUUUCAUCCAGACAAAUCCGGUGAAUAGUCACCUAAAACGUCAAAACAAAAUGAACAUCUCUUUUCGAGACUGCUUUCUAGAGUGAAUUUAAAAAAAAAAGAAAAAAACGGCGCCAAGAAAAUCAAUCGGCACCCUGGGGUUGGAAACCGUAUUGGAAAACCGUUAAAUGAGCCGUUGUCAAACCUUAUCUGACGAUAAAUCUAUAACUACAUCAACAAAAAUUACAUUGAUGCUUACAAAUGAUUCCGGCAUGAACAUGUUUAUUUUUUUUUAGGGUUCUCCAUAAAAGCCUGCAAACAGGUAUUAAUCACCGUCUAGCUUUUCUCGCCCGCUCCUUUUUCAUUUACAUCGGCAACCAAGUGCUGGAGUUGUUCCGCAAAGUUUCAAUUUUAAAAUGGUGAAAAGAGAAAACGAAAGAAAAAGAAAUGUUUGGAAAUGAUUGUAACCGAUCUUAUGGCUAACGACCUAAACUGGCCGGAAGCGAAAUAGAGGCGUUUGUGCUUUAGAUUGCAAUUGCUGCCAGGAAGGGAGAACGGAUGUUCAUUACGGCUUUGGGGACUGAACGAGGCAUCCUGAACCUCUUGAGAAGUCAGAUCUGAGAUGAUGUCAAAAGAAAAUAGUGUUUUGCAAGAGUGCAGGGCUUGGAUCAUUCUAGUAACGGAACAGAUGCCGGUCUUUUGACGUACGUUAGAAAUGGUUAUUCUGAUAUAAGCCGUAUCCCGGAAUAUGGUCAGCCGAAAGCAUCACGCUGGACUGGAAUUCAGUCUUAUUUCCGAAUAACGUCAAUCGAUCGAACUACGCACGUCUAAAAGGUUGAAAACGCCGUCGAAAACAGACUAAUGUCACGUAGAUCGUAUACAAAGCCCUGGCCCUACACAUUGCGUGUAGCCUGAGUACCAAAAAUGGUCACCACACUAGCGCGUGCAACCUUAAUCCACUCCUACUCAGCGUGGCGCUGGGAUGCAUCACUGUCGGACUAUUUCGAAAUAAGUCAUGAUUUAUACGUUGUAUGUACUUCACUUUAACUUUAUGAAUAUACCGUGUUACUAUUAGCAUUGUUAGUGAGGUAUAGGUUAACCAAAAUGCUAUUCAGAGUAACUGAACUUCUGAGCUGUUCAGGCUAACUCAGCGUUAAACUGGCUAAAGAGGAGUAUUAAGUACUUAGGCCACUCGACUAAAGAGUCCAAAUCGAGUUCGAACUCAAAGUCCAUCUGAAAUGUUUUUAUAUUUCCUGUAUUAAAUUAAAUGUGGACAUGUACAGAUGAAUUCAAUAAAUUGCAGUGUACAGUGUACAGUUCCCGUAUCAUUUUACGAAUCAAGCUUACAGCACUGAUUACCAAAAGUGUAACUAGCACAAAACUUAACUUUGCUUAACAAAGAAAAAUUGUGACUGGAAAUAAAAACACGAGGAAUCUCGAUGUUCACGGGACAAGUCGAAACGUCAGCUUUUACCACGCUUCUGAUGAAAUGGUUUAUAAAUAAAUUUAGCAGCAUCGUGAUAUUCGUCACAUGAACGAUUGCGAGUGGCCACCGGUAACAGAUCACGCAAGUCCAUUUACCGCACUAUUGUUAAAGCAGGCUUUGCGGGGGACUCAUGAGCAAUUUUUAAUUGUCGCCCAAGGCCAUAACUAGACAGUACUUGUCGGGAUACUGUCCAUAUCAAGUGCAGUGGUGUCCUGAGCGAACAGACUUUCAAUCGUUACGCUUACGCCAAAGGAACACUACAAUUCAAUUCAGUAUUUCUACAACAGACGUUAUCGACCGAGCGACUCGAGAUACACAAACAGUCGCAGCUGCACUUGGGGUUCUUGACUUUACAUCAUGAUCACACAAGACACUCCUUGCGGAGAAGCAAACGGUCUUAUGACUAGUGUUGAACUAAGCGAACAAAUGAGGACACGAAUUCGACAAGUUGCGAGAGAGUUGCAGAACAUAGGAGAUAAACUCGAAAACCGAUAUUUUCGUCCACUUCAAGAUGCUGGACAAAAUCAUGAUAGACUUGGAUUCAACGUGAUGGAAGUUGCUAGAGCGAUUUUCCUGCGGUAUGUUACAGAACUUCUCGGUCGCAACAACUGACUACAGAUUUGAUAACGAUGUUCUCCGCCCUCUGCUGCGAAAUUCGUGACAACUUUAUCAUCGGACGAGUAGCUGUGCAAUAUUUUCAAUUAACUUGUGACAAGCUGACUAGGCAAUUUUAGUCACGACAAUAAUAAGACAUCACGCACCGAGGGAAAAACUGUCAAAGAUAGAAGUAUAAAGGCGUGCAGGUCCUUACCACGAAGUGAAGACGAUAACAUAAAGAUCCUGAAAGCCAAACACGCUAGAAAAUUACGAAUAUCUUGAGUUGAAAGAUCCAUACGUCGUACUUAGUGUAUGACUGAUGUUUCGAAAAUAGUACCUGUGGUUUCUUUCAAGUGCGAUGACCAAUAACCACAGAACUGGUCAUAAAAUAACCACCCGCUAAGUAAACCAUUUUCAUUUACAUUUCGCCGAAUAUUUAUUGCAACCAAUGGUAUAAAUGUAAGUAGUGUCAGAAUUUUUUGAAAAAUACUAAAUCCAACUAAAUGCGAA